rnacentral:rRNA from 1 species
UACAGAGGGUGCGAGCGUUAAUCGGAAUUACUGGGCGUAAAGCGCGCGUAGGCGGCUUUGCAAGUCGGGUGUGAAAUCCCCGGGCUUAACCUGGGAACUGCAUUUGUGACUGCAUGGCUGGAGUGCGGCAGAGGGGGAUGGAAUUCCGCGUGUAGCAGUGAAAUGCGUAGAUAUGCGGAGGAACACCGAUGGCGAAGGCAGAUCUCUGGGCCGUAACUGACGCUGAGGAGCGAAAGCGUGGGAGCGAACAGG